rnacentral:ncRNA from 2 species
AGGCAUGAUAGAGGCGCGGUUUUCAUCAGUAGCCCUUUAGGGGUGCGCGGAAACGCACAGGGCGAAAGGGACAGCCGCCGAAGGGCCUGCCGGGGUUUCCGUCCCGCAGGUGCCUGGGGUGCAGGAGAACAUCCUGCGCACUGCCGCUUGACGGAGAGCUAUCAUGACC